rnacentral:rRNA from 1 species
UUGGCGGACGGGUGAGUAACGCGUGGGUAACCUGCCCCAUACCGGGGGAUACCACCUGGAAACAGGUGCUAAUACCGCAUAAGCGCACGGGAGCGCAUGCUCCUGUGUGAAAAACUCCGGUGGUAUGGGAUGGACCCGCGUCUGAUUAGCCAGUUGGCAGGGUAACGGCCUACCAAAGCGACGAUCAGUAGCCGGCCUGAGAGGGUGGACGGCCACAUUGGGACUGAGACACGGCCCAAACUCCUACGGAAGGCAGCAG